CCUACGGGAGGCAGCAGUGGGGAAUAUUGCUCAAUGGGGGAAACCCUGAAGCAGCCACGCCGCGUGGAGGAUGACGGUUUUCGGUUUGUAAACUUCUUUUGAUAGGGAAGAUAAUGACGGUAUCUAACGAAUAAGCACCGGCUAACUCCGUGCCAGCAGCCGCGGUAAUACGGAGGGUGCAAGCGUUAUCCGGAAUCACUGGGCGUAAAGAGCGCGUAGGCGGGAUAGCAAGUCAGAUGUGAAAUCCUAUGGCUUAACCAUAGAACUGCAUUUGAAACUGUUAUUCUAGAGUAUGGGAGAGGUAGGUGGAAUUCGUGGUGUAGGGGUAAAAUGCGUAGAGAUCAAGAGGAAUACUGAUUGCGAAGGCGACCUACUAGAACAAAACUGACGCUGAGGCGCGAAAGCGUGGGGAGCAAACAGGAUUAGAUACCCGAGUAGUC
rnacentral:rRNA from 1 species